UACGUAGGGUGCAAGCGUUGUCCGGAAUUAUUGGGCGUAAAGAGUGCGUAGGUGGUUGGAUAAGUUAGGUGUGAAAUCCCUGGGCUCAACCUAGGAACUGCGCUUAAAACUGUUCGGCUAGAGUAUUGUAGAGGAUAGUGGAAUUUCCAGUGUAGCGGUGAAAUGCGUAGAUAUUGGAAGGAACACCAGUGGCGAAGGCGAGUCUCUGGGCUGAUACCGACGCUGAGGCGCGAAAGCCAGGGGAGCAAACGGG
rnacentral:rRNA from 1 species